UGAGGAUUGGAUUCGAACCCACGCAGGCAGAACCCAAUGGAUUAGCAAUCCAUCGCCUUAACCUCUCGGCAACC
rnacentral:tRNA from 1 species